rnacentral:rRNA from 1 species
ACAUCAUAGCGGAGGAAAGAAACCAACAGGGAUUGCCCUAGUAACGGCGAGUGAAGCGGCAACAGCUCAAAUUUGAAAUCUGGCUCUUUUAGGGUCCGAGUUGUAAUUUGCAGAGGGCGCUUUGGCGUUGGCAGCGGUCCAAGUUCCUUGGAACAGGACGUCACAGAGGGUGAGAAUCCCGUACGUGGUCGCUAUCCAUCGCCGUGUAAAGCCCCUUCGACGAGUCGAGUUGUUUGGGAAUGCAGCUCUAAAUGGGAGGUAAAUUUCUUCUAAAGCUAAAUACUGGCCAGAGACCGAUAGCGCACAAGUAGAGUGAUCGAAAGAUGAAAAGCACUUUGGAAAGAGAGUCAAAUAGCACGUGAAAUUGUUGAAAGGGAAGCGCUUGCAGCCAGACUUGCCUGUAGUUGCUCAUCCGGGCUUUUGCCCGGUGCACUCUUCUGCGGGCAGGCCAGCAUCAGUUUGGGCGGUUGGAUAAAGGUCUCUGUCAUGUACCUCUCUUCGGGGAGGCCUUAUAGGGGAGACGACAUGCAACCAGCCUGGACUGAGGUCCGCGCAUUUGCUAGGAUGCUGGCGUAAUGGCUGUAAGCGGCCCGUCUUGAAACACGGACCAAGGAGUCUAACAUCUAUGCGAGUGUUUGGGUGUCAAGCCCGAGCGCGUAAUGAAAGUGAACGGAGGUGGGACCCCAUUAGGGUGCACCAUCGACCGAUCCUGAUGUCUUCGGAUGGAUUUGAGUAAGAGCAUGGCUGUUGGGACCCGAAAGAUGGUGAACUAUGCUUGAAUAGGGUGAAGCCAGAGGAAACUCUGGUGGAGGCUCGCAGCGGUUCUGACGUGCAAAUCGAUCGUCAAAUUUGGGCAUAGGGGCGAAAGACUAAUCGAAC